AAUGAAUGUUAAAAGGUUAAGUUAUUUGAUUCUAAAGUUCUUUGUGAUUUAGGGGUCUCAUGAUGUCAUGGUGAAGUACAUUAUUGUACGGUUUGAUAUAAACUUUGUGAUAGUGGUUUGCAGGCAAUUGAUUAAGAGCAUGAUCCCAGAAGAAUAUGUGAGUUCUCAUGUUUUCAAACCUCUUCUCCUGGUUAAAAUUUUUGUUUUGCUUGAGGACAAGCAAGAAUCUAAGUCGGGGGG
rnacentral:lncRNA from 1 species